rnacentral:lncRNA from 1 species
AAAAGAAAAAAUGGAUGCCGUUCAGACGUAGACGCAUCAUUUGGAACUGAAAAUUACGUAAUUUAUCGACCUGCUGGCUUGUAUUUGUUAUAAAUCAUAAAAAAAUUAUGGAAAACAUCAUGAACAAUAAUGAAACAAACCGAACCUUUAGCUACAAUAAUAAAAUGACCCCAUGACGCCAGUGGAACUACGUGGUUUUCUUUCAUGAUGAUUUGAUGAUACCACAAUGGAAUUAGCCAAGUUUUCGCCGUAUUGGGUGCUAGAUGCCCCUUGGAGUUAAGCCCCAGUGCCACUAUACUACCUUACCAGUUAUGUGUGGGUGUUGUAGUCCUAAGACACCCCGGAGGUACAAAGGGCCUUCACAAACUCACGCCACGCCUUCCUAUCUUCAGCAACCCUCGUGACCUCGCUCCACCAGCUCAAACCUGCCAGUCGCAGCUCAUUUUUCGACGGACCGCUUCCAUGAGUAGACAAGGCACCGACGAUCACGGCUUGCAUCACCUGUACUGCUUCGUAAUAUAGCAUGCUGAACAAUGCUGACAUUAUACUAGGAUCAACGUCCUGCCCCUUCCCCGGCUAUGUACAAAUUGGAACUCCAUGCCCCUGCAUGCCCCUUUGACUGAGCAACAUGUGUGUGCUCGAAACACAUUCAAUUGCAACAAAAUGAUUCCCAGGCUGACCUGGCUCAGCUCUUGUAUGUCUGAUCUACAUAGACAAUGGUUUCAAUGAAAGAGUGAAAAUUCUUCUCCAUGUACAAUCACUUUCAACGCCUACACUGACUACACCAAAUAUGAUCAUCACUCAACGUGUCUCACAUCAAGAUACUUUUCAAAAGUCAUCAAGAAGUGGAACAAUAUUUUUUUUUUCCAUUAUUGCCUGAAUAAUCCUAACUAAAAGUUAUUUCUCUAUUCUAUUUUUCCUGCAUGGAGUGGCGCUUUUCCGUCUAAUGGAACCAACAAGAACAUGUAUGCUCUGGGUUUUUAUUGUGCACCUUUCCAAUAUUACUAAUAAAGCAUUU